rnacentral:sRNA from 1 species
CUUCUUCCACCAGUUGGGGGCAGAUGAAGUGGAUAUGCGCAUCCAAGCCACCCGCGGUGAGGAUCUUACCCUCGCCGGCUAUGAUCUCGGUGCCAGGCCCGAUAACGAUAUCGACACCUGGCUGGGUAUCCGGGUUACCGGCCUUGCCGAUGGCGGCAAUGCGCCCACCUUGGAUGCCCACAUCGGCCUUGACGAUACCCCACCAGUCGAGGAUCAGGGCAUUGGUGAUCACGGUGUCCAUCACCGACUCGUCAAGUCGCUGGCUCUGGCCCAUGCCGUCGCGGAU